rnacentral:rRNA from 1 species
UUACCGUCAUUUUAAUGUAAUUAAAYUGACUUACAGUGAAGACGUUAAGCCUAGAGCACUUUUUUCCCUAGUGAAUAAGGUUCCAACAAGUUAAGAGAACUCUUGUCCUUUGGGUUUUCAUGAGUUUUUCCUGGACGUUGCGAAAAAAGCUCAUAAGGAUUUAUGCCUUUUAAGUUAGGCGUARAAUGCCUUCUGAAAAGUGAGCUUUUUAGAAAAUUCUAAGCAACGAGAUCAGGUUUUCUACGAAAUGGAAAAACAUUCCAUUUUUGCACUUUUGUGUCCCCAUAGGACUAGAGUGAAGGUGGACUUGUUUUUUWGCACCUGUUCCGUAAGGGAAAUGGUGGAGUUGGCGUAGCCAAMUAGAGCACCAGGUGUCUUAUAAGUCCUUCUUUAGGCUUAGAAACAGCCUAACUUCGUCAUAGUUUUGGGCUUUUAUUCGCCUUACCUUCUCUUUUUAGUAGAACCUACCUUAUGAAAAGGUAGGGAUAAGGUUGGUUUUAGUAUCGAUCAUGGUAAGUCUUUUUAGCCUUUUUCUUAUUAGAAGUUGGCUGUUUAGACCCCAAUGGCUACUCAGGUCCUAUACUCCUCCAGUGAACUUGGCAACAAUUGGCACAACUGUUUUCUAAAAACAUAGGUGUUAGAAAGCAUUAAUGCCUAGUACUGCCAAAGUCCCUACUGGCAGCAGUAUACUGACUGUGCCAAAGUACCGUAAUUUCUUGUUGCUUAAUUGGCAACCAGGGAAGUAUUCAUGAUGUCGGUCCUUUACUGGUGGAGUUUCGUGAAAUAAUGGUCAUGAUGAACACAACAUGAGUAUUUUGAGUGAGGAAAAGACCCUUAUUUCUUGAAUGAUCUCCUGAUUGAUUAGGACUCUUGGGUCAUCAUUUUACUUGGGGUGAAGCACCACUUUUAUGUGGUGUGAAAUUACUACCUUUGACCCAGAGUAUUCUGUGGAUUAAUUCCAUGA